rnacentral:rRNA from 1 species
GUUGGCUUAGAAGCAGCCACUCAUUUAAAGAGUGCGUAAUAGCUCACUAGUCGAGAGAUCCUGCGCCGAAAAUGUACCGGGGCUAAACUUACCACCGAAGCUACGGGCUUGCGUAAGCAAGCGGUAGGGGAGCGUCGUAAUCGGGCUGAAGUCGUACCGUAAGGAGCGGUGGACUGAUUACGAGUGAGAAUGUUGGCAUUAGUAGCGAGAUGUAGGUGAGAAUCCUACAGGCCGAAUAUCUAAGGUUUCCUCAGGAAGGCUCGUCCGCUGAGGGUUAGUCGGGACCUAAGCCGAGGCCGAAAGGCGUAGGCGAUGGACAACAGGUUGAUAUUCCUGUACCACUACCAUCGUUAUUAUCGAGGGUGUGACGGAGAAGGAUAGUGUGUGCUAGCGAUUGGAAAUGCUAGUCUAAGCGUUUAGGGAGUUACGGUAGGCAAAUCCGCUGUAACAAUUCUGAGGCGUGAUGGGGAAGGCCAUAUAGGCCGAAGUACAUGAUUCCAUGCUUCCAAGAAAAGCAUCUAGAGAGAGAAGUAGUGCCCGUACCGCAAACCGACACAGGUAGAUGAGGAGAGAAUCCUAAGGCCGGCGGAAGAAUUGCAGUUAAGGAACUAGGCAAAUUGACCCCGUAAGUUCGCGAGAAGGGGUGCCUGCGAGAGCAGGCCGCAGAGAAUAGGCCCAAGCAACUGUUUAGCAAAAACACAGGUCUCUGCUAAAGCGUAAGCUGAUGUAUAGGGGCUGACGCCUGCCCGGUGCUGGAAGGUUAAGGGGAACACUUAGCGCAAGCGAAGGUGUGAACUUAAGCCCCAGUAAACGGCGGCCGUAACAAUAACGGUCCUAAGGUAGCGAAAUUCCUUGUCAGGUAAGUUCUGACCCGCACGAAUGGCGUAAUGACUUGGGCACUGUCUCAACUGCAAAUCCGGCGAAGUUGUAGUGCGAGUGAAGAUGCUCGCUACCCGCGAUUGGACGGAAAGACCCCGUAGAGCUUUACUGUAGCUUAGCAUUGAAUUCCGGUAUUGUCUGUACAGGAUAGGUGGGAGACUGGGAAACUAGGGCGUCAGCCUUAGUGGAGUCAACCUUGGGAUACCACCCUGACAGUACUGGGGUUCUAACAGGACGCCAUGAAUCUGGUGACUGGACAUUGUUAGGUGGGCAGUUUGACUGGGGCGGUCGCCUCCUAAAAAGUAACGGAGGCGCCCAAAGGUUCCCUCAGAACGGUCGGAAAUCGUUCGUAGAGUGCAAAGGCAGAAGGGAGCCUGACUGCGAGACCUACAAGUCGAGCAGGGACGAAAGUCGGGCUUAGUGAUCCGGUGGUACCUCGUGGGAGGGCCAUCGCUCAACGGAUAAAAGCUACCUCGGGGAUAACAGGCUGAUCUCCCCCAAGAGUCCACAUCGACGGGGAGGUUUGGCA